AGGCAGCAGUAGGGAAUCUUCCACAAUGGACGAAAGUCUGAUGGAGCAACGCCGCGUGAGUGAAGAAGGGUUUCGGCUCGUAAAGCUCUGUUGGUAGUGAAGAAAGAUAGAGGUAGUAACUGGCCUUUAUUUGACGGUAAUUACUUAGAAAGUCACGGCUAACUACGUGCC
rnacentral:rRNA from 1 species